GAUGAACGCUGGCGGCGUGCCUAAUACAUGCAAGUCGAGCGAGAUGUUAGCGCAUGAACCUUCGGGGGAUUAUGCUAACGGACAGCGGCGGACGGGUGAGUAACGCGUAGGCAACCUGCCCCUGACAGAGGGAUAGCCAUUGGAAACGAUGAUUAAAACCUCAUGACACCGUAGAAGCACAUGCUUCAUCGGUCAAAGAUUUAUCGGUCAGGGAUGGGCCUGCGUCUGAUUAACUAGUUGGUGAGGUAACGGCUCACCAAGGUGACGAUCAGUAGCCGACCUGAGAGGGUGAUCGGCCACAUUGGAACUGAGACACGGUCCAAACUUCUACGGAAGGCAGCAGUAGGGAAUCUUGCACAAUGGGCGAAAGCCUGAUGCAGCAACGCCGCGUGAAGGAUGAAGGCCUUCGGGUUGUAAACUUCUGUUCUAAGGGAAGAAACAAAUGACGGUACCUUAGGAGCAAGCCCCGGCUAACUACGUGCCAGCAGCCGCGGUAAUACGUAGGGGGCAAGCGUUAUCCGGAAUUAUUGGGCGUAAAGAGUGCGUAGGUGGUUACCUAAGCGCAAGGUUUAAUUUAGAGGCUCAACCUCUACUUGCCUUGCGAACUGGGCUACUUGAGUGCAGGAGGGGAAAGCGGAAUUCCUAGUGUAGCGGUGAAAUGCGUAGAUAUUAGGAGGAACACCAGCGGCGAAAGCGGCUUUCUGGACUGUAACUGACACUGAGGCACGAAAGCGUGGGUAGCAAACAGG
rnacentral:rRNA from 1 species